GCUGACAGGUGGCAGGGGAGGCUGCCGCUUGUGUUGGUGUCAAGGACAGACCAUUUGUUCUGGAGCAGACCAGAGAAGGGCUUCCAAGGGACUUCUCCAAAAGUAGAGACGCGAGCUAUUUCCAGACCAGAGAGAGUGCUCAAGCAGAGGCAGCAGCAGAGGCAGAGGGAGAAGUAGGCUCCCCGCUGAGCGGGAAGCCCCACACUAGACUUAAUCCCAGUACCUGGGAUUGUGACCUGAGCCAAAGGCAGACGCUUAACUGACGGAGCCACCCAGACACCCCUAUAAAGUAUUCCAUCAUAUGGAUGAACCACAGUUUCUAUAUUCACAACUCGAACUUGAACUCACAACCCCAAGAUCAAGAGUUGCUUACUCCAACUGAGCCUGGCAGACACCCCUAUUCAUUCACCUUUUGAUGGACAUUUGGGUAGUUUCUAGUUUAGGGCUAUAAUGAAAAGGCUUUUUUUUUCUUUGAGUUUCAACUGGACUUAUUUGAUGGCUGCUAUGGGACUCACUAGCUGCUGAUUGAAUAAUCUUCCCUGAAAACUAAGGGAAAAGUUGAUGAUCAAACAAAUGGAUAGUUUAUUCAUUCAUUUAACCACUCACUCGUUCGAUUAACCACUUGUCCAAUAAGGAUUCACUCUCCACCUACUAUUACUACCAGUAAUAAUUUAACAAUAUUAUUCAGUGACUGCUUCAUGAAUGUUAAGGUCACCGUGCUUAGAAUGUACCUGGGAUUAUAUUGUUCAUUUCUCACAGCGGUCAUGCAGGGUUGCUGUUAACUGGUCUCAGCUUUAGGUGCUUUCUUCAACCUAAAGUGUGAGGCAAAUAAAACUGCAUUUUUUAAAACAAAAGCAUUUUCUAUACAACUGAGGUUUUUCAUUUAUUUAUUGGCCUUCCCUCCUCUCUUCUGUUCCACUUUCUGUGAAUUGAUGAGGUUUUAUUACAUCUCUUCUUUAAUCAAGACCAAAUGGUCUAUGACAUUGCUUGGCUUUUAUGUUUAUUGGGGUUGAAGUGGUGCCUGGCUGACACUGAGAAGAAGACAUUACACUCCCAACAUCCCUGGUGUCCGAGCUAGAUUGGUAUUCACUCCCAGCACACACUGAACACUUCAUCUUCCAGACACACGAUUGAGCGAAGGUGCUAUAUAAGUCAAAUAAAUAAGUAAAGCCAAGGGCACUUCUGUCCUUAUCUGGCACAUGGAAAUAUAGUUAAUUUUCUGUGGGUUCCUAUGGAAUGCUCACACUCACCAGGAACUUUGGAAAGAGAAAGAAAAAAGACGAUAAGACAGGGAAAAACUGUCUUGACUCUUGAAGAGUUUAAUUAGUAUGAAAGUCAAGAAUAAGCUGGAAAAAUAGUUAUCAAGAAAGCAUAAAGAAGGGGAGAGGGUGCCUGGGUGGCUCAGUCAGUUAAGCGCCCAACUCUUGAUUUUGGCUCAGGUCAUGAUAGCAGAGUGGUGAGAUGGAGCCCCACAUUGGGCUCUGUGCUCAGUGGGGAGUCUGCUUGAG